rnacentral:sRNA from 1 species
UGAUCUCCGCCUUUGAGCUCCCUAGCGA